rnacentral:rRNA from 1 species
AGAGUUUGAUCAUGGCUCAGAUUGAACGCUGGCGGAAUGCUUUACACAUGCAAGUCGAACGGCAGCACGGGAGCUUGCUCCUGGUGGCGAGUGGCGAACGGGUGAGUAAUGCGUCGGAACGUACCGAGUAAUGGGGGAUAACGCAGCGAAAGCUGUGCUAAUACCGCAUACGCCCUGAGGGGGAAAGUGGGGGAUCGCAAGACCUCACGUUAUUCGAGCGGCCGACGUCUGAUUAGCUAGUUGGUGGGGUAAUGGCCUACCAAGGCGACGAUCAGUAGCGGGUCUGAGAGGAUGAUCCGUCACACUGGGACUGAGACACGGCCCAGACUCCUACGGGAGGCAGCAGUGGGGAAUUUUGGACAAUGGGGGCAACCCUGAUCCAGCCAUUCCGCGUGAGUGAAGAAGGCCUUCGGGUUGUAAAGCUCUUUCAGCUGGAACGAAACGGUACAGGUUAAUACCCUGUGCUAAUGACGGUACCGGCAGAAGAAGCACCGGCUAACUACGUGCCAGCAGCCGCGGUAAUACGUAGGGUGCGAGCGUUAAUCGGAAUUACUGGGCGUAAAGCGUGCGCAGGCGGAUUGUUAAGCAAGAUGUGAAAUCCCCGGGCUUAACCUGGGAAUGGCAUUUUGAACUGGCAGUCUAGAGUGCGUCAGAGGGGGGUGGAAUUCCACGUGUAGCAGUGAAAUGCGUAGAGAUGUGGAGGAACACCAAUGGCGAAGGCAGCCCCCUGGGAUGACACUGACGCUCAUGUACGAAAGCGUGGGUAGCAAACAGGAUUAGAUACCCUGGUAGUCCACGCCCUAAACGAUGUCAACUGGUUGUUGGGGGGAGUGAAAUCCCUUAGUAACGAAGCUAACGCGUGAAGUUGACCGCCUGGGGAGUACGGUCGCAAGAUUAAAACUCAAA